GAGUUUGAUCGUGGCUCAGGAUGAACGCUGGCGGCGUGCCUAAUACAUGCAAGUCGAGCGAACAGACGAGGAGCUUGCUCCUCUGACGUUAGCGGCGGACGGGUGAGUAACACGUGGAUAACCUACCUAUAAGACUGGGAUAACUUCGGGAAACCGGAGCUAAUACCGGAUAAUAUAUUGAACCGCAUGGUUCAAUAGUGAAAGACGGUUUUGCUGUCACUUAUAGAUGGAUCCGCGCCGCAUUAGCUAGUUGGUAAGGUAACGGCUUACCAAGGCAACGAUGCGUAGCCGACCUGAGAGGGUGAUCGGCCACACUGGAACUGAGACACGGUCCAGACUCCUACGGGAGGCAGCAGUAGGGAAUCUUCCGCAAUGGGCGAAAGCCUGACGGAGCAACGCCGCGUGAGUGAUGAAGGUCUUCGGAUCGUAAAACUCUGUUAUUAGGGAAGAACAAUGUGUAAGUAACUAUGCACGUCUUGACGGUACCUAAUCAGAAAGCCACGGCUAACUACGUGGCAG
rnacentral:rRNA from 1 species